rnacentral:rRNA from 1 species
UACGGAGGGUGCAAACGUUGCUCGGAAUCAUUGGCGUAAAGCGCACGUAGGCGGUCUGUUAAGUCGGAUGUGAAAGCCCUACGGCCUCAACCGGAGGAAGUGCAUACGAAACUGGCGGACUUGAAUAUGGAAGAGGGUCGGCGGAAAUUCCCGGUGUAGAGGUGAAAUUCGAUAGAUAUCGGGAGGAACACCGAGUGGCGAAGGCGGCGACCUGGGCCCAAU